rnacentral:tRNA from 2 species
GUUCUCAUAGUUCAAUGGAUAGAACAAUCCCCUCCUAAGGGAUAGAUACAGGUUCAAUUCCUGUUGGGAACACCA